rnacentral:tRNA from 1 species
GGCUUAGUGGUUAAGUGCUAUGGCUGCUAACCAAGAAGUUGGCAGUUCAAAUCUGCC